GGUUCGAUGGCGUAGUUGGUUAUCGCAUCUGUCUAACAUCGUCGUGGUGAUCGGAUGUGUUACACAGAAGGUCCCCAGUUCGAGCCUGGGUCGAAUCA